rnacentral:rRNA from 1 species
AUUGAACGCUAGCGGGAUGCUUUACACAUGCAAGUCGAACGAGGGGCGGACGGGUGAGUAAUAUAUCGGAACGUGCCCCGUAGGGGGGGAUAACUACUCGAAAGAGUAGCUAAUAGCGCAUACUCUUGGAGCGGCCGAUAUCGGAUGAGCUAGUUGGUGGGGUAAUGGCUCACCAAGGCAACGAUCCCUAGCUGGUUUGAGAGGACGACCAGCCACACUGGGACUGAGACACGGCCCAGACUCCUACGGGAGGCAGCAGUGGGGAAUAUUGGACAAUGGGGGAAACCCUGAUGCAGCCAUGCCGCGUGUAUGAGAAGGCCUUCGGGUUGUAAAGUACUUUUGGCAGGGAAGCGGUAUCUGCAGAAUAAGCACCGGCUAACUACGUGCCAGCAGCCGCGGUAAUAC